CAAUAAGUAGUUUAAGUGAAAAAUAUUACUGUUACAUAGUAGUGAUCGAGAAAAAGUUAGUCUUGUUUGUUGA
rnacentral:tRNA from 1 species